rnacentral:rRNA from 1 species
AUGCGAAGCCAUGCCGCGUGUAUGAAGAAGGCCUUCGGGUUGUAAAGUACUUUCAGCAGUGAGGAAGGUGGAUAUGUUAAUAGCAUACUCAUUUGACGUUAGCUGCAGAAGAAGCACCGGCUAACUCCGUGCCAGCAGCCGCGGUAAUACGGAGGGUGCGAGCGUUAAUCGGAAUUACUGGGCGUAAAGCGCAUGCAGGUGGUUUGUUAAGUCAGAUGUGAAAGCCCGGGGCUCAACCUCGGAAUUGCAUUUUGAAACUGGCAAACUAGAGUACUGUAGAGGGGGUAGGAAUUUCAGGUGUAGCGGUGAAAUGCGUAGAGAUCUGAAGGAAUACCGGUGGCGAAGGCGGCCCCCUGGACCAGAUACUGACACUCAGAUGCGAAAGCGUGGGGAGCAAACAGGAUUAGAUACCCUGGUAG